UGGGGAAUAUUGCACAAUGGGCGCAAGCCUGAUGCAGCAACGCCGCGUGAGGGACGACGGCCUUCGGGUUGUAAACCUCUUUUAGUAGGGAAGAAGCGAAAGUGACGGUACCUGCAGAAAAAGCACCGGCUAACUACGUGCCAGCAGCCGCGGUAAUACGUAGGGUGCGAGCGUUGUCCGGAAUUAUUGGGCGUAAAGAGCUCGUAGGCGGUCUGUCGCGUCUGCUGUGAAAACCCGAGGCUCAACCUCGGGCCUGCAGUGGGUACGGGCAGACUAGAGUGCGGUAGGGGAGAAUGGAAUUCCUGGUGUAGCGGUGGAAUGCGCAGAUAUCAGGAGGAACACCGAUGGCGAAGGCAGUUCUCUGGGCCGUAACUGACGCUGAGGAGCGAAAGCGUGGGGAGCGAACAGGAUUAGAUACCCUGGUAGUCCACGCCGUAAACGUUGGGCGCUAGAUGUGGGGACCAUUCCACGGUUUCCGUGUCG
rnacentral:rRNA from 1 species